CCUACGGGAGGCAGCAGUGGGGAAUUUUGGACAAUGGGCGCAAGCCUGAUCCAGCAAUGCCGCGUGAGUGAAGAAGGCCUUCGGGUUGUAAAGCUCUUUUGUCAGGGAAGAAACGGUGGAGGUUAAUACCUUCUGCUAAUGACGGUACCUGAAGAAUAAGCACCGGCUAACUACGUGCCAGCAGCCGCGGUAAUACGUAGGGUGCAAGCGUUAAUCGGAAUUACUGGGCGUAAAGCGUGCGCAGGCGGUUGUGCAAGACAGAUGUGAAAUCCCCGGGCUCAACCUGGGAAUUGCAUUUGUGACUGCACGGCUAGAGUGUGUCAGAGGGGGGUAGAAUUCCACGUGUAGCAGUGAAAUGCGUAGAGAUGUGGAGGAAUACCGAUGGCGAAGGCAGCCCCCUGGGAUAACACUGACGCUCAUGCACGAAAGCGUGGGAGCAAACAGGUAUUAGAUACCCGUGGUAGUCCACGCCCUAAACGAUGUACACGUGGUUGGUUGGGUAGGUUUCUCUANAGUACGUAGCGUACGNGU
rnacentral:rRNA from 1 species